rnacentral:rRNA from 1 species
ACGGAAGGCAGCAGUGGGGAAUAUUGCACAAUGGGGGAAACCCUGAUGCAGCGACGCCGCGUGAGUGAAGAAGUUAUUCGUAAUGUAAAGCUCUAUCAGCAGGGAAGAAAAUGACGGUACCUGACUAAGAAGCCCCGGCUAACUACGUGCCAGCAGCCGCGGUACUACGUAGGGGGCAAGCGUUAUCCGGAUUUACUGGGUGUAAAGGGAGCGUAGACGGUCUGGCAAGUCUGAUGUGAAAGGCAGGGGCUCAACUCCUGGACUGCAUUGGAAACUGUCAGUCUUGAGUGCCGGAGAGGUAAGCGGAAUUCCUAGUGUAGCGGUGAAAUGCGUAGAUAUUAGGAGGAACACCAGUGGCGAAGGCGGCUUACUGGACGGUAACUGACGUUGAGGCUCGAAAGCGUGGGGAGCAAACAGGAUUAGAUACCCUGGUA